rnacentral:rRNA from 1 species
GACGAACGCUGGCGGCGUGCCUAAUACAUGCAAGUUGAGCGCUGAAGGUUGGUACUUGUACCAACUGGAUGAGCAGCGAACGGGUGAGUAACGCGUGGGGAAUCUGCCUUUGAGCGGGGGACAACAUUUGGAAACGAAUGCUAAUACCGCAUAAAAACUUUAAACACAAGUUUUAAGUUUGAAAGAUGCAAUUGCAUCACUCAAAGAUGAUCCCGCGUUGUAUUAGCUAGUUGGUGAGGUAAAGGCUCACCAAGGCGAUGAUACAUAGCCGACCUGAGAGGGUGAUCGGCCACAUUGGGACUGAGACACGGCCCAAACUCCUACGGGAGGCAGCAGUAGGGAAUCUUCGGCGAUGGACGAAAGUCUGACAGAGCAACGCCGCGUGAGUGAAGAAGGUUUUCGGAUCGUAAAACUCUGUUGGUAGAGAAGAACGUUGGUGAGAGUGGAAAGCUCAUCAAGUGACGGUAACUACCCAGAAAGGGACGGCUAACUACGUG